UACAAUCUCCGAGCACGACCCCGA
rnacentral:piRNA from 1 species